rfam:Triticum aestivum genome assembly, contig: Triticum_aestivum_CS42_TGACv1_scaffold_131364_2BL
AUUUUACUCCCUCCGUACGGAAAUACUUGCCAUCGAAAAAGGAUGUAUUUAGACGUAUUUUAGUUCUAGAUAUAUCUCUUUCUAUCCAUUUUGAUGAUAAGCAUUUUUGAACGGAGGGAGUACUAA